rnacentral:lncRNA from 1 species
GCCCGAAAGUUUAAUAUUUUUAGAACUAUAGGGUUACCUUUCCCCCUUGUGCCGCUGCUACCUUCGUGCCAGCUUUCACGCGCGCCGUUGCUUCAUCUCCACGUCGACAUGCCCACGAAUGGCUUCUCCACGCCAUACACACCUACAGCAGACUAACAAACAAAAGAGCAAUGGACAGCAAAUAACAGAAAUUACAGCAAGGAAAUUUGAUUUUCUUAUUUAUUAUUCUUAUUUUUCAGCUAUAAAACGAAAUGAAAUUGAAUGUAAAGGGGGAUUUUUGGGAGAGACGAUACAAAAUCUAUACCAAAAGUUUGAAUAGGAAAAGAGUUUUCCAAAGGUGAUUUUAAAUCUCAUUUUUUGUCUUUCGUUUUUGCUUCUAUUUUUCUUUGAUCUUCGUCAUUGUAUGUAAAAAACAAAUAAAUGAAAGCGUUAAUACUUAUCUUUCUUAGGAGGCUUCGAAUCCUUGUUUACGUCGUGGUAAUCGAAGCUAGAUGAGGAUUGAGGUUAAGCAUAACAAAACCCUCAGAUUUGCGGUCGAAUAAGGCCAGGAUAAACCUUCAUACGUUGCCGUCCGUUGAGUAUGGAGGUGAAGUGGUAGAGCUUUUUGGUUCGGCUGAAUGAGUGGAAGGGAGGCUUUAGGUUUUAUU